GUUCCCAUAGCUUAAUCAGGUUAGAGCAAUAAAUUGAAGCUUUAUUGGUAAAAGUUCAAAUCUUUUUAGGAACA
rnacentral:tRNA from 1 species